UAUCUGCAACGGCUUCCUGAAGCAGAUAACAUUUAAUUGGAGCG
rnacentral:ncRNA from 1 species